CAAAAAUUGUUCACAGACUAGUUCAUGAAUCUAUCCACUGAGCCCAGCGCCAGCGCCCUCUCUCAAAAAUCUCUACCUUCUCUGUCUCUCUUGCAACCUCGGUUUUAUGGUUAAGGAGGGGAAUACAAGCAGCGAGGACAAGAACACUAAUGUUUUUGGUUGGACGACAACUGCAAGGGAAGUAAUGGCACAAUUUGUUCUCCCACCUGUGAUCCAGUCCCCAAGAAAUUGAAAAUCGAUUGGUCUCAAUGGUUGGCGGCAUUAUGUGGGUGUUUCAUGAAAGGCACAAAUGCUCUAUUGGUUUCAAUUAUCAAAGGCCUCAUGAGAUCAAUCCUUUGAAUAGUUGGAAUUUGCCUCUCAUCUUCGUUCUCAACCUCACCAUCUUCAACCGCAUCACAAGAGUACAUUGAAGACCCCUCAGAAUCAUUCAAGCUCCAUCUUCUUCCUCAGGCAGUUACAUUGAGGAGAUUCAAAGCUGCAUCCCAGCCAUUUGGUUAGUGUGUGUAGCCUCAAGACAGAGCACGACUGCUCUGUUUGCCUGACUGAGUGCCAACCAGAAUUUGAGAUAAACCACUCGACUUGUGGCAUGUUUUCCUAAUGAUUGCUUGGAGAAGUGGUUGAACUACUGGAACAUUACAUUCCCUCUUUGUAGGACUCCUUUAAUGCCUGUGGAAGGGACCUGUUUUUGGUGAACAACUUACAAGCAUGUAAGUUAAUCGGACUUCAUGUGGUAGGUAGUAUUUAGUGUACAGGUGGUUUUUUACAAGAAUGCAU